rnacentral:rRNA from 1 species
GAGACAGCAGUCGCCGCGGUAAUACGUAGGUGGCAAGCGUUGUCCGGAAUUAUUGGGCGUAAAGGGCUCGCAGGCGGUUUCUUAAGUCUGAUGUGAAAAUCCCCGGCUCAACCCAUAGUCUGCAUGAGAAACUACCGGGCUUGAGUGAUGGAGAGGUGAGUGGAAUUUCCGGCGUAGCGGUGAAAUGCGUAGAUAUCGGAAGGAACACCUGUGACGAAAGCGGCUCACUGGACAUUAACUGACGCUGAUGCACGAAAGCUAGGGGAGCAAACAGGAUUAGAUACCCCAGUAGUCCCUGUCUCUUAUAC